AGCUUUGCACAGUGGCAGUAGCAUAGCCAAUGAGGUUUAUCCGAGGCACGAUUAUUGCUAAUUGAAAACUUUUCCCGAUAGAAGCUGCUUGGAAACAACAUUCAUCCACAUGAAAUCUUUCAAUUCUUAUAAAGA